UUUCCGCCGGAUGGAUCCAGUCGCUGUGUCACUAGAAAACACGAAGUGAGCCAGUCCUGUUCGUCAUCGUCUUACUAGACUCCUCCUCCUGUGACAGAGUCGGGGAAAGGGUCCGGUACCUGCCCGCCAGGUACUGCUCGAUCCCAGGGUCUGUCUCGUACAGAGGCUCUUGUGUCAGCGGGCUGCGGCAGUCUAAUGGCUACACUGCGUACCAGAGAGCUAAUGUAAACAGUUGUGAGAUUCACAGAGGAAGGAGAUACUGUCAAAUUAAACGCUGUGAAGUAUUGCAACUCAUCCUGCUUUUAAUACUGACUGCGGCUAUAAGGACCUGGUACUAGAAGGACAGCACAUUGCAAUGGCAUUGUCUUCCACCAGACGAGUGUGAUUUCAUAAACUGCAAGACUGAAUAGUCAUUGAACACCAAGACUGGAUAACUGCUAGAAGAGAAUUUAUACCUUAUCCUACACUAUUUUGUGAAGUCGGCUGUCACAUUUUUGACAUGAUAACUAAUUACAUUUCAAAAUCAUACUUCUCUUGUUUGAGAGAUGCUUUGUGAAGAAACUGAUGUACAAUCGUUGCAGUUGGCACUCCAGUAUGCUAGAAUUCAAACCAGGCAUCAUAGAUGAAUGAAAACAAACAGUUUUGCAACUGGUAUCCUCUUCUACAUAUCCUGUUAUAAGUCACCAGACAUCUUGACUUCUGCUUAACUUCAAUGACUAGACCAGAUCAUAAUGGUUUAUUUUAAACAACUAGAGAUUACUUGAUCAGAGAAUUUCAAAUUUUCAAAACUGGGGCAAAUGUCACAUUAAAAACAAAAUAUGUGAGGAGGGAUAUAAUGAUAGAAUAAUAUGAAUUAAGAUGGGAUGAGUUUCCUGCAGACAUUGACAAGGACUUGUGCCAUGCAAGCUAUGCUGUAAAUUCAAUGUCAUUCUAUGUGGACUGUUAGCAUCUGAAAGCUGAGUAAGUGAAUGCAGUGUGGUGUUGAUACCUGCAAGGGCAUUAUAAAAUGGUGGUAUUUUUAACUGCAAAUUUUAUUAUUGGCAAGAUCAGUCGACAAAGGGCAAAAGAAUGGUUAUUGUGCAACAAGUUACAAUCUGGAAUGUACUGACUAAAAUUGUGGUGGAAGCAGAUCCAGUAGUAACUUUCAAAAAGGAAUUUCGUAAACACAUGCGCACAGGUAAGUACACAUACAUAGUUGAAAAGGAAGGAAUUAUAGAGCUACGAGGAAACAGAUGAGUGGACAAUUUGGUUAGUUCUUUCAAAGAUGUAUAGUGUCACAAUUUCAGUUCAAAAUCAGAUUGUAGAAAGUCAGACUUGAUGGUUGAGAAGAAUAUUUCCUCCUGCUUCUUAAAAAGCAGAUUUUGAAAUUGAUAUUUAAUGUAACAUGAAUGAGAAAAAUACCUCUAACACAUGAAAGGUGAAAUAAAAACCAAAAAUGCUGGAAACAUUGCAGAAUGAGAAAAGUAGGUUAACACUGCCCUUUUGUCAGAUUCAGCAAGUGUUAUAAGAGAGUUCUUGAAUCAGGCAUUAGGACCAGCAUCAAGGCUAUGAUCACCCAAAACCAGCCUUCCUUGCUGUGCUGGCUACAUGCUUAGAAUUGCUGAGUUCCAAAUGGCAAAGCAUAUCAUCUUCGGCCAGCUUGAGGACAGCACCCAAACAAGUUGAGGACAAUGGAACGCUUCCCUCAAGAAAUGCGACAUAGAUGACAACAUUUGGGAGACCCUCAUUCAGAAGAAACCAAUUUGGAGGAAGCUUGAGUCUGAAGGGACACAAUUCUUUGAGAAUAUCUGUCAGUUAGAGAAAGUAUGGAAAAGGAACCGGAGAAAGGAAUGGCAACAAUCUCAAGACUGAGUACCAAUUCCACCUCAUGGAAAUACUGUGAGAUUGGAGAUCUGGCUCUAGGUUUGGGCUCACCAGCUAAACACGGACUCAUAGAACCCAUGACCAGUGACAUGGAAUUUCCCAUUUGGAUUCAUACUCAUUAGCGAGUGAUUGCCAACUACGACAACGAAGACAAAAUUAAGGGGAACAAAACCAAAGGUAAGGGAGAUUAGGUAUUCAAAAACAAGUGCAUUGAAGGCUAGUAAUAUGCUUACAUAUCUGGAGUGCGUUGUCUUCUAUCACCCUCUAGAUUCACUGAAGCCAUCGAGACCUUGCCUGAUUUCUGAUGCUUUUCCCUCCCUGCUCUCUGGACAUUGGAUGUAGAUUUUAUUUCUCUGUGUCACUCCAUGCAUGCUUCCACACUUGCUGAACAUUUUCCAGCAUUUUAUGUCCUUAUUUUGGAUUUCCAGCAUAUGCAUUAUUUUGAUUUUGAUUUGCUUCCUGAAUUUCUCUCACUGCUUCCCUAAUUUUGCAUCUUUAUCACUACUAUCAUUUCAUUUUUUUGACCUGUUCACAAACUUUUUUCUGUCCCAGUCUCUUUUAUCUUGGGCCUGUUUCACUUUGUAUGUUAGUCUAUAACGUCUGCUGGUUCUAAUGGAGAACCACUGGCCUGAAAUGUUAAUUUUACAUUCCUGCUUCUAUAUCGGCUGUGAACUUCUUCAGCUCUACUUCUGUUCUUACUUCAAAACGACUGUUAUUUAGUAAAAUCAAUAGCAAACUUUCUUUUGUAAAAGAGUAUUUUAUAAAUUUAUACUUUUGAUAUGGAGACUUUCAUAGCUAGAAUGGAAAAGAUGGCUUUUUUCAUGCAUUGGUGCAUUUUAGUCUAUGUUCACAGAUGUAAUUGGAAAUUAAAGGUAUUGCCCGAACCAAUCUAUACUGAAGACUGGAGAUGAGGAAAGGCAGUUCCCAACCUCAAACGAGUAAGAUUUUCAAGCUGGAACGAACAAUAACAAUUUAGGUUUUUAUAAACAAAGAACACAGCAAACCACAUAAGGUGCUAUUAGUGAAUGCAUCCAAAGGCCUAAACAAAGAGGUAUGUUUCAAGGAGUGUCUUAAAGGAGGAAGGUGAGAGCAAGAGGCAGAAAGAUGUACAGAAGGUAUUCCAGAGUUUAGGAAGGGAAUUCCAAAGUUGAGGGCCUAGGCAACUGGAAACACCGUCAUUGUGAUGAUAAAUGGGGAUGCUCAAGAGGCCAGAAAUAGAGUACACAGAUAGCUCGGAGGAUUAGAGAACUGUGUUAUGAUCACAGCUGAUGUACUAUCCAACAA